GUGCUUGUUUCAGCAGCACAUAUACUAAAAUUGGAACAAUACAGAGAUUAGCAUGGCCCCUGUGCAAGGAUGACAUGAAAAGAAAAAAAAAUUAAAAAAAAGAA
rnacentral:snRNA from 1 species